AAGUUCCGACCCGCACGAAAGGCGUAACGAUUUGGGCACUGUCUCAACGAGAGACUCGGUGAAAUCAUAGUACCUGUGAAGAUGCAGGUUACCCGCGACAGGACGGAAAGACCCCGUGGAGCUUUACUGUAGCCUGAUAUUGAAAUUCGGCACAGCUUGUACAGGAUAGGUAGGAGCCUUUGAAACGUGAGCGCUAGCUUACGUGGAGGCGCUGGUGGGAUACUACCCUAGCUGUGUUGGCUUUCUAACCCGCACCACUUAUCGUGGUGGGAGACAGUGUCAGGCGGGCAGUUUGACUGGGGCGGUCGCCUCCUAAAAGG
rnacentral:rRNA from 1 species